AUCAGUAUCCUCUCCAUACACCACAUAAAUUUCAAAUGGUUAUAAAUGAGACAUACCUUCAACUGCAGGCUGCAGCUUUACAGAGAUCAGUAUCCAAGUACUUACAACUCACAUUUCCAAAAAAUUUCAGCAUUUGACCAAGUCAUGAUUUUAGCAGAAUAAAAGAAAACACAGGAUUUUUUUAAUUAGAGAAACCCUACGUAUAACCCAUGGUGCAUCUUGUGUUACAUCUCCAACACAGCAGUUACUGUUGGACAGUCUUACGGGGCUAAAAACUAACAAUUUUUGCAAGAUAUUGCUGAAUGAAGGUGGAGAACUGAGGAACUCACCAUCACUUAUCUGUGGGCUAUGAAAAGAUGUUGACCGUUGAUUAACAGUGCCAAAGAACACAACAGUCACAGAAGUAACAAAAAGGAAGAAGAGUAGAAUGUAUCAGAAAAACGAAAAAAAUGUCAGCAGAAAAAAUACAGUAGGGGCAAGUGUAGCUCAAGAUUGAACAGCCAAAGAAAAUGAUUUGGGGUUGUUUGGGGGUUGUGUGUGGGAGUGGGGAGGGGAGGCGGCAAGAGAAUUAUAGAGAGAAGGGAAAAGGUUAUUCCAAACUUUACAAGGGAUCAGAAGAAAAAUGCACAUAUGGAGAUGAAGAAAAAAUGGGGACUUUCUCAUAAUCCUACUAUAACUUUAGCUUCUACUCAAGACUUUCUUCCUUUAUUCUGUGGCCUUCUACUUGCAGAAAUGAACAAAUAGUAUUUGGUUUAGCAACAGAGAUUAGGCGUCUCUUUUAUUCCGUCUCUUUAUUAUACAAAUGCCUAAUCAAGUAAGACAGCUAGGUAUUUUUUUCCAAAAAAAUAAGUUAGAC
rnacentral:lncRNA from 1 species